rnacentral:misc_RNA from 1 species
CGGGAAUGUGCGAACCACGCAUCGAGCUGUUACGCGUACCUACCGCUUCGGCCAUCAUUGCGUUUACCGGUUCGAUCAACGAUUCUCUAUAUCUCAAAACAAUGACAACCAGUUGGUAUAAUUACUGCUUGGUAGAUUCAAGUAUAUACAUCAAUGGGGAGCAAGGUGUCCGCAAUCUGAUUUAAAUAAUCGCAACGAUGCUCGACGAAAAGAAGUUCUCAAGCGGCGACGAUGAUCAACUCUAAAGGAGCAAACCGCAAUUCAAUCCUGUCCGAGUCAAUUCAUUCGAAAUGUAUUCGGUCCAAUUGUAGCAAUUUGCAUGCAUGGACGGAGAAUGAGUCUUACAUGGCGAAAGGAACGCGAUCACAUGGUAAAGCCGCACGCUUCCGUUAAACCAAAGAAAUCAAGAGACAAAUUCUUUGGUAUUCGAGGAGAAGUUAACGGCAGGUGGAGGGAAGUUGGGGGAAGGUGAAACCAAAAGGAAGCAGACUGCCAUGGCAGCGAGAGACUGGCAGCAGAGCGGAUGUCAUUUCGUGGUCGACUUAUUUCGUUACCGGUUUCUUUAAUAACUUUCAUGAAGAGAGAAGAAACUCGUUUCGAAAGGACGAUGUUCUUCCGUUCAGAAUAUCAGAAUUUUAAUGUUCAGAAAGAAUUAUCGAUAGUAACUGGAACGUUGAAGUUUUAUUAGAUACGGAAAAUUGCAAUUUAAUUCGACGAAGAUAAAAGAUGUAGUUAAUGAUGCACGAUGCCACGUGGGCACGAAAUGUAUUACGCAAAUAAAUGCCACUUCACAAUGUUUCUUUGUGUCAAAUUAAGAGGGUAUUCUAUUGUUGACACAGAGACAAUUAAAAUUAGGUAACAGAAACGAGAAUUGUUUAUUAUCAUGACAAUACUUAUUCACACGUCUCACUUUUAGCGCCG